ensembl:snoRNA LOC120100449 small nucleolar RNA SNORA17
UCUGCCCCUAGAGGCAUUACAGGUGUGGCUAUGUGUUGCCUGUGCCUCAGUAAGUGGCAGAGAAGAGAGUGAGUGGCUCGGUGUUCUGAUUUGUGAAUACCUGAAUGAUUGGCAGCCUACAAG